rnacentral:rRNA from 1 species
ACGUCAAGUCAUCAUGGCCCUUAUGGGCUGGGCUACACACGUGCUACAAUGGCAGUGACAAUGGGCAGCCACUCAGCAAUGAGGAGCUAAUCCCUAAAAGCUGUCUCAGUUCGGAUUGGACUCUGCAACUCGAGUCCAUGAAGUCGGAAUCGCUAGUAAUCGCGGAUCAGCAUGCCGCGGUGAAUACGUUCCCGGGCCUU